rnacentral:rRNA from 1 species
GAUGAACGCUGGCGGCGUGCCUAAUACAUGCAAGUCGAGCGAACAGACGAGGAGCUUGCUCCUCUGACGUUAGCGGCGGACGGGUGAGUAACACGUGGAUAACCUACCUAUAAGACUGGGAUAACUUCGGGAAACCGGAGCUAAUACCGGAUAAUAUAUUGAACCGCAUGGUUCAAUAGUGAAAGACGGUUUUGCUGUCACUUAUAGAUGGAUCCGCGCCGCAUUAGCUAGUUGGUAAGGUAACGGCUUACCAAGGCAACGAUGCGUAGCCGACCUGAGAGGGUGAUCGGCCACACUGGAACUGAGACACGGUCCAGACUCCUACGGGAGGCAGCAGUAGGGAAUCUUGCGCAAUGGGCGAAAGCCUGACGGAGCAACGCCGCGUGAGUGAAGAAGGUCUUCGGAUCGUAAAACUCUGUUAUUAGGGAAGAACAAAUGUGUAAGUAACUAUGCACGUCUUGACGGUACCUAAACAGAAAGCCACGGCUAACUACGUG